AUUGGAAUGAAUAUGUAUUCUUGUUGCUUGCAGCCUCGUUCUGGUUCACCAGUAAUAGCCCAAGAUACUGUGAGAGAUUCAAUGAGGUCAUUACGAUCUCAAGAUGGUGGUGGCUGGAAUAUUCCCGAUGAUACUGAAGUCUCUUUGGUAACUGACUGGUCAGAAUCAAAGACUACUGGUAGGGCUUCACCUGGACCUCCAAAAGCGUAUUGAGAAAACACACAAAGAUAGAAUCUACCUUCUUCAACAUGCCGUCCAUUAUUUAUUACUCUAUUAUACAUAUCAAUAGUGACUUACGCAGCCAUUUUGAGUAGUUGUGCAUAAUUUCUUUUGUAUCGAUGUUUGAUAGGUGAUAUACAUGUAUAAGCUUGUGUUCAGAAUGACAAAUUAAAGAACUUUACACACUGUGUACAGAACAUAAUAUAUUGUAAUAAUGGCCAAAUUAUUUCCAAAAAUUGUAAAAUUUGUAAAAUAUAUUGUAAUGUUCUGAUGAUCCAUAAUUAUUGUUAAUUUUUUUAAAUAUUUUAAACAAAUAUAUAAAUUUUAUACAUAGAUACUAAAAUUAUAAAUAAAGAAUAUUAAAUUUUUGACUAAACAUUUAAUAUAAUCAUGGCUUUUGUUAAAAGCUAAUAGGUUUCUUCUAUAUUAAGAACCAAAGAACAAAUCAAUGGUCAAAAAAAUGCAGGUAAUUUAUGUAGCUUAUUUAUGAAUUUUCUGUCGUUUUAGAAUACAAUUUUUUUCCAUUAUUUAAUAACAUGCUUAAGUAGUUAUAAC